CCUGCGCGUGGUUGCCUGGCAUCUGUCAUGAUGAGGCCGUGCUGCUAGAACGUGGCACAAAUCGAUUCUCCCCCAAUUUCUUCCAGGGCCAAUCUGGAGACGGAUCAGACCAGGAAUUCCACAGCCGGCAGAGCGGAGCCAGGCUUAAUGCCGAGAAAACCGGCGCCCCUGCCGCCGCCAGCCCAGGGCCCCACUCACAGCCAGCACCGCCUCCUGAACGCCCUGAUGCCCCGCUGGGGCUCUGAGGGUCCCCGCCUGCCUGGACCGCAGCAAAGUGGCUGAAGUGGCCAACGGCCCACUGCGCCCAGGCCUGGGAGAGGUGGGAGCUGGGCCUGGCGGGGACCCUGCUGUCCACUUAGGACAGGGCUCCUCCAGGUCUGUGGACAGCUUCCCAGAGCUCCCUGCCAGCCAGCUUCAGGCCAUAGAGAUCUUUGCUCGUGAACCCCAUCUCGUCCGUCAGACCAGACAAAAAGACCACCUCCUCGAAGACGCCCUCCGGACAGCCACCUGUGCCUACAUCCUGUGGUUUCCUCAGUAGUACCUGUCCCUCACAAAAAUGACCUGGCGUGUGUUUCUGCCGCAUUGUCAAUCCCUCCCCGCCUUCCAGUGUGUACCUCUCCUAAGCUCCACCCAACGUGGUCCAUCCCGGUGCCUGAAACCCUGAAGGCAUACAGGAAAAAACACGAUCCUCAGCCAGCCGGUGCAUACGCAUGGGGCCUGGAAAAGAAGAGAAUUCCGGAGACACAAACGGCCCGUGCGUCGCCGCCUCGGCCCGGCUGCUGUUAUUAAACUCCUGCGCAGGGAAAAGCGAUAAAAUAAACAUCCACCUCUCCCGUCGCUCUCAGAAGUGAAAGGUUCCCGAGAUGGGAAAUGCAGGUGGCUUGCAGAGUGCUCCGUCCACAUAAAAUCAUCAGAUGCUUGAAGACCCUGGGAGAAAUGGGCUGGGAUGAAUCACCUGCUCAAAGCCACUUAGCACUUGGCAGGGGCUCCAAAGCCCUGGGGUCGGCAAGGUGUCGGUCGCUGGAGCAGGGGUGGCUGAUGGAUCUGGUGCGGAGCGGGCGGGAGGAGCCGCAGACUCGGAUGCAGGGGGCUCGGUGGGGACCACCGAUUCACGUCUGGCCUGGGGCUCUGUCCCCGGGAACAGGAGGGGAUCAGGCUGGGGAAGCUGGGGAGGGGGUUUCUCCCUUCUCUUUCCUGGCUGCCAGGCCGUCAAUGGGAGACACAGUUCUUGGGGACCAGACCCUGCAACCCCUGAUCCCGGCAUCUGAGAUCGGCCUGGUGCUGGCUCUGAGGCCCCUGAGCAACCUCAGCUCGGGCUGGCUGCGGAGGACCUUUGAGGGUUGGCUGGCAAGCCCUUCUCCUUCUCAGCUGGCCAUGGCACACAGGACCCCACUCCUCCACAUGCCCAGGGCGGGCAUCACUCAUCGAGCCCCACACUCCCCCAACGCUUUGCAUCAGGGCCGUCCAGGCAGCUGCGAGUGAUCUGGUGACUCUGGCCUGAGAGAUGCGCAGACCCACCCCUUUCUGUGCCUCGACCACCCGGCCGAUGGGUGGCCCUGCCCCAGGAGGAGCAGGGGUCUUCCUGCUUCCCCAGCGCUCCCUCUCCAGGCCCUGCAUCCACCUCCCGGAAGUUCUGCCCUCCCCACAGCUGGGAGCAGUGCCGACCCCCUCUUCGCUCUCCUGGGGAGACGCCUUUCUGCACCGGGCGGUCAGCCCCCGGGUCUCGGUGUGGGAGUGGGGAUUCUGAUGUUGGGGGUGCAGAGGCCGCCGCCUCAUUAGCUUCUCUCGCUCUGGGAUAAGAGCAUGAAUAGGGCCGGUUGGCCCCCCCGGACCCUGACGCCCCCAGGCCCAGCACCUGCCCGGAGGCCCCACCCAUUCUUCUCUUUUCCUUUUCUCACGAGAACCCUUUCACCCUUAUCCUGCAUGACCUCAUUUUAGCUGAUUAAAUUUGCAAAAAAAGGCUGGGCUCGGUGGCUCACACCUGUAACCCCAGCACUUUGGGAGGCUGAGGCGGGCAGAUCACCUGAGGUCAG